GCCGCGUUAGCUCAGUGGUAGAGCGUCGAUCUUGUAAAUCGAAAGUCGAGAGUUCAAUUCUCUCACGCGGCU
rnacentral:tRNA from 1 species